CCAGCACCCCGAGUGGUCGGGACGAUUAUUGGGCCUAAAGCAUCCGUAGCCGGUCUUACAAGUCCCCCGUUAAAUCCAGCUGCUUAACAGAUGGGCUGCGGAGGAUACUAUAAGACUAGGAGGCAGGAGAGGCAAGCGGUACUCAGUGGGUAGGGGUAAAAUCCGUUGAUCCAUUGAAGACCACCAGUGGCGAAGGCGGCUUGCCAGAAUGCGCUCGACGGUGAGGGAUGAAAGCUGGGGGAGCAAACCGGAUUAGAUACCCGGGUAGUCCCAGCUGUAAACGAUGCAGACUCGGUGAUGGACUAGCUUUAUGCUAGUCCAGUGCCGCAGGGAAGCCGUUAAGUCUGCCGCCUGGGUAGUACGGUCGCAAGACCG
rnacentral:rRNA from 1 species